GAUGAACGCUGGCGGCGUGCCUAAUACAUGCAAGUCGAGCGAACAGACGAGGAGCUUGCUCCUCUGACGUUAGCGGCGGACGGGUGAGUAACACGUGGAUAACCUACCUAUAAGACUGGGAUAACUUCGGGAAACCGGAGCUAAUACCGGAUAAUAUAUUGAACCGCAUGGUUCAAUAGUGAAAGACGGUUUUGCUGUCACUUAUAGAUGGAUCCGCGCCGCAUUAGCUAGUUGGUAAGGUAACGGCUUACCAAGGCAACGAUGCGUAGCCGACCUGAGAGGGUGAUCGGCCACACUGGAACUGAGACACGGUCCAGAGUCCUACGGGAGGCAGCAGUAGGGAAUCUUCCGCAAUGGGCGAAAGCCUGACGGAGCAACGCCGCGUGAGUGAUGAAGGUCUUCGGAUCGUAAAACUCUGUUAUGAGGGAAGAACAAAUGUGUAAGUAACUAUGCACGUCUUGACGGUACCUAAUCAGAAAGCCACGGCUAACUACGUG
rnacentral:rRNA from 1 species